UAAGGAUGUCUGUCAUGCAAGGAUGUGUUACCUAUGGCCCCAUGUCAGGAGAAUGAUUAGGUUCCUGUGAAGUUUAAAAAAAAUCCUGUUAGAUACUAGAGAUACACAGUAACUGCCAUAUAUUACUUUCUACAUGCAAGGCACUUGUACAGAGGUUGAAAAGAUGUCUCCAUUUAAGCGUCCAUUUAAGCAGGGGAGUGGUGGAGUCUUCUGUGAAGGUAGACCAGCACAUGGUUUGCAUUGCCACAGAGACACUGGGAAGAGCCUCUGAAACCCAGAGGAACGCAUGCGUAUGGGCAGUCUGGGGCAGGUAGAAGAUGUCAAGGUGUCCAGAGAUAAAGGGGUCAGCAUGUGCAAGGGCACCUGGUAUGAGCAGAUAGUGGUGGGAUCGUGGGUAUGUGAGGAGAGGAGAGGUUGCAUGGGGUUAAGUGCCAGGUUAGGAGGAGAGUUUAGGUGUCCUGUUAAAAAUGACAGUCAGCUGGGCAUGGUGGUAUGCACCUGUAGUCCCGGCUAUUCAGGAGGCUGAGGCUGGAGGAUUGCUUGAGCCCAGGGGUUUGAGGCUGCAGUGAACCAUGAUCACACCACUGCACACCAGCCAGAGCAACAGAUGAGAUCCCGUCUCAAAAAAAGUGAGAGUCUGUUCCCAUGAUCAGUUUGGAUUUCUCAGGCUCUUGGAGCUAGAGGCAGGGAGGACAAGGUAGGAGGUGUGUUGCAGAUAAGAUGUAAUUAGAGAUAAGCCUGGUGGGGCAGUGAGGUUGGAAAGUGGUUGUUUGGUGAUUCCUAAGGAUAGGAUUCAGGGUCUCCUUGGUAUCUGCCCAUUGCUUUGCAAAUCCUCCCUCUUCAAGGCCAGAAAGGAUUGCUUGUAAAGUGUACUUAGGAAGUAGCCCUAGAUUCCUGCUUUCCCAAACAGCCUCUGGAAAGACCUCAAGUUUCCUGGAGAGAGAUACUCAUAUUUCCCUUUGUAGGCAAAAAUUGCAUCAAGAAGGUGGGCCCGGUGGCUCACACCUGUAAUCCCAGCACUUUGGGCGGCUGAGGUGGAUGGAUCACUGGAGGUCAGGUGUUUGAGACCAGCCUGGGCAACGUGGCAAAAUCCCGUUUCUACUAAAAAUGCGAAAAUUAACCGGGUGGGGUGGCAAGCACCUGUAAUUCCAGUUACUUGACUGGCUGAGCCACAAGAAUUGCUUGAACCUGGGAGGCAGAGGUUGCGGUGAGCUGAGAUCAUGCUACUGCACUCCAGCCUGGGUGACAGAGUGAGCCUCCGUCUCAAAAAAAAAAAAAGAAAAAAGUGGCCGGGUGCAUUGGCUCACGCCUGUAAUUCCAGCACCCCAGCACUUUGGGAGGUGGAGGCGGGUGGACCACUUGAGGUCCGAAGUUCCAGACCAGCCUGGCUGACAUGGUGAAACUUUGUUUCUACUAAAAACACAAAAACUAGCCAGGUGUGGUGGCAGGGGCCUGUAAUCCCAGCUAUUCGGGAGGCUGAGGCACAAGAAUAGCUUGAACCUGGGAGGUGGAGGUUGCAGUGAGCUGAGGUCACGCCACUGCACUCCAGUCUGGGUGACACAGCGAGAUUCCAUCUCAAAAAAAAAGUUUUAAAUGUUCCUUUCAAAUGAAUGAAUAAGUAAUAACCCUCCAAAAAAAUCGCAUCAAGAAAAGAGGCAGCUACCACACACAACUCAUUUCCUGAAAAUCUGCUUUGGUGGUUGGCAUGUUUUUUGAGCAAAGUGCAACCUAUGACCCUUUCCCCCACGGGAUGGGGUGGGGCAGAGGGAGCCUUUAAGCCUGUUAAGAGCCAGCACCAGAAGGAGCCCUCGAGCAAUUUGGUGACUUGUGCUCUUCUGUCCUAUGUUUAGAUAAUGCUCUAAUGUGUCUCCCCCUGCAAAUUUCUCUAAUUCUGCAUUUUUCUCCAGUGGAAAAUGUGGAAGGUAGGGGAGCUAUGAAGACUAGUGUGUUUCUAAAUGGCUUGGACAGAGCUGCCCACCAGUUUGCGCCCUUUGGUACAUGCCUCUUUUAACCUUCGGACCUGGGUCACAGGCUGUUAUCUAUAAUGGUAAGGUUAGACCCUUUAGGGAGCACUGGAGGAGCACCACCUGGUGAAUGAGGAGGGAUAUUCCAUGGCGAUACCAGGAAGGAUGGGGGAAGCAUUUGGGGUGCCAGAGACCCUAGGGACAUGGAGCUGGAGGCUGGGUGGCCUCUGAAGCAUAGCUGAGCUCUGCACAUGCCAGCAGGCUAGAAGCAGGAAAACACACAAGUUCAAGCUGGCUUUUCGUAUAUUGUGUAUAAAAAGAUCAGAUUCAG
rnacentral:lncRNA from 10 species